GGGCGUGUGGUCUAGUGGUAUGAUUCUCGCUUUGGGCGAAGUUUGAGCUUAAACUUAAACUGUUUACCACAAAUAUGCGAGAGGCCCUGGGUUCAAUUCCCAGCUCGCCCC
rnacentral:tRNA from 1 species